rnacentral:rRNA from 1 species
GAUGAACGCUGGCGGCGUGCCUAAUACAUGCAAGUCGAGCGAACAGACGAGGAGCUUGCUCCUCUGACGUUAGCGGCGGACGGGUGAGUAACACGUGGAUAACCUACCUAUAAGACUGGGAUAACUUCGGGAAACCGGAGCUAAUACCGGAUAAUAUUAUGAACCGCAGGGUUCAAUAGUGAAAGACGGUUUUGCUGUCACUUUUAGAUGGAACCGCGCCGCAUUAGCUAGUUGGUAAGGUAACGGCUUACCAAGGCAACGAUGCGUAGCCGACCUGAGAGGGUGAUCGGCCACACUGGAACUGAGACACGGUCCAGACUCCUACGUGAGGCAGCAGUAGGGAACCUUCCGAAAUGGGCGAAAGCCUGACGGAGCAACGCCGCGUGAGUGAUGAAGGUCUUCGGAUCGUAAAACUCUGUUAUUAGGGAAGAACAAAUGUGUAAGUAACUAUGCACGUCUUGACGGUACCUAAUCAGAAAGCCACGGCUAACUACGUGCCAGCCGCCGCGGUAA